GACGAACGCUGGCGGCGUGCCUAACACAUGCAAGUCGAGCGAGUGAAUCUCCUUCGGGAGUGAAGCUAGCGGCGGACGGGUGAGUAACACGUGGGCAACCUGCCUCAUAGAGGGGAAUAGCCUUUCGAAAGGAAGAUUAAUACCGCAUAAGAUUGUAGCUUCGCAUGAAGUAGCAAUUAAAGGAGCAAUCCGCUAUGAGAUGGGCCCGCGGCGCAUUAGCUAGUUGGUGAGGUAACGGCUCACCAAGGCGACGAUGCGUAGCCGACCUGAGAGGGUGAUCGGCCACAGUGGGACUGAGACACGGCCCAGAGUCCUACGGGAGGCAGCAGUGGGAAUAUUGCACAAUGGGGGAAACCCUGAUGCAGCAACGCCGCGUGAGUGAUGACGGCCUUCGGGUUGUAAAGCUCUGUCUUCAGGGACGAUAAUGACGGUACCUGAGGAGGAAGCCACGGCUAACUACGUGCCAGCCGCCGCCGUAA
rnacentral:rRNA from 1 species